rnacentral:rRNA from 1 species
AUUGAAUGCUGGCGGCAGGCCUAACACAUGCAAGUCGAGCGGAUGAAGGGAGCUUGCUCCUGGAUUCAGCGGCGGACGGGUGAGUAAUGCCUAGGAAUCUGCCUGGUAGUGGGGGAUAACGUCCGGAAACGGGCGCUAAUACCGCAUACGUCCUGAGGGAGAAAGUGGGGGAUCUUCGAACCUCACGCUAUCAGAUGAGCCUAGGUCGGAUUAGCUAGUUGGUGGGGUAAAGGCCUACCAAGGCGACGAUCCGUAACUGGUCUGAGAGGAUGAUCAGUCACACUGGAACUGAGACACGGUCCAGACUCCUACGGGAGGCAGCAGUGGGGAAUAUUGGACAAUGGGCGAAAGCCUGAUCCAGCCAUGCCGCGUGUGUGAAGAAGGUCUUCGGAUUGUAAAGCACUUUAAGUUGGGAGGAAGGGCAGUAAGUUAAUACCUUGCUGUUUUGACGUUACCAACAGAAUAAGCACCGGCUAACUUCGUG